GCUGUAGCUCAGAGGCAGAGCAUCUGCUUUGCAUGCAGAAGGUCUCAGGUUCAAUCCCCGAUAGAAUUU